UACGUAGGGGGCAAGCGUUGUCCGGAUUUAUUGGGCGUAAAGAGCGUGUAGGCGGCCAGACAGGUCAGCUGUGAAAACUCGAGGCUCAACCUCGAGACGUCGGUUGAAACCGUCUGGCUAGAGUCCGGAAGAGGAGAGUGGAAUUCCCGGUGUAGCGGUGAAAUGCGUAGAUAUCUGCAGGAACACCCGUGGCGAAAGCGGCGCGCUGGACCACUACUGACGCUGAGGAACGAAAGCUAGGGGAGCAAACAGG
rnacentral:rRNA from 1 species